rnacentral:rRNA from 1 species
UACGGAGGGUGCAAGCGUUAUCCGGAUUCACUGGGUUUAAAGGGUGCGUAGGCGGAUAGGUAAGUCCGUGGUGAAAUCCUGCAGCUUAACUGCAGAGCUGCCGUGGAUACUAUCUAUCUUGAAUAUCGUGGAGGUUAGCGGAAUAUGUCAUGUAGCGGUGAAAUGCUUAGAUAUGACAUAGAACAUCGAUUGCGAAGGCAGCUCGCUACACUAUUAUUGACACUGAGGCACGAAAGCGUGGGGAUCAAACAGG